rnacentral:rRNA from 1 species
CAGCCCCGCGGUAAUACCAGCCCCGCGAGUGGUCGGGACGGUUAUUGGGCCUAAAGCGCCCGUAGCCGGCCCGGCAAGUCCCUCCUUAAAGCCUCGGGCCCAACCCGAGGACGGGGGGGAUACUGCCGGGCUAGGGGGCGGGAGAGGCCGGCGGUACUCCCGGGGUAGGGGCGAAAUCCGUUAAUCCCGGGAGGACCACCAGUGGCGAAGGCGGCCGGCUGGAACGCGCCCGACGGUGAGGGGCGAAAGCCGGGGGAGCGAACCGGAUUAGAUACCCGGGUAGUCCCGGCUGUAAACGAUGCGGGCUAGCUGUUGGGCGGGCUUAGAGCCCGCCCAGUGGCGCAGGGAAGCCGUUAAGUCCGCCGCCUGGGGAGUACGGCCGCAAGGCUGAAACUUAAAGGAAUUGGCGGG